GGCCAGGUGGCUGAAUUAGGCGGUAGGCUGUAAACCUACUCAUGGGAAAUGUCCUCCUGGUCG
rnacentral:tRNA from 1 species